rnacentral:lncRNA from 1 species
AGCAGCAGCCGCCGCCGACUGAGGAGCCGCAGCCAGGGAGCCAGCCAGCGCCGCCCAGUGCCGAGUGCGCAGCGGCCGCGCACGGAAACAGCCGAGCUAGGCCCGGAGCAGCUCGAGCGGCCCCGCCCCCGCGCUGGGGACGGAACUUGCCGAAGACCUUCGGGUUUCUUCGGGCGACGAGAAGGGGUUCCGCGGGGAGAGGGAAGGCGAAGGCGGGCUGAGCCCGGCGCCGGGAGGAGUGGUCUAAACUCCACCGCGGCUUUCGCAUCGGAGACGUGUCUUUAGGAAGCAGAGAGGGUUCGAUUCUGGACUCCGCCCAUGACUCACUUCUCUUGUAAAGAAAGAGUUGUCCUUCCUGGUACUCCAGGUACCCUACUGUUUUCUUAUGGACUUUGCCCUUAACGAGUCUCCUUUCCUUCUGUUACUCUCAACCUUUCCUUCUCUACCGGCUCUUUCUUACUGGUAUUUAAACAUGCUUAAGUCUUUCAAUUCUUUAAAAAGAUUUCUCUUCUCCCUAAAUUGCUCUCCAACAACUGCAGCUGUCUCUUACCCCAUGGACAGUCUUUCAUGUCCCACCUCCCAGCCCUCUCCAGUGUCCCCACCGCUCACCUGAAGUGGCUCUGAAUUGUCCACAGACAAGCUUCAUGACUGUAAAUGCAGCGGAUCAUUUUCAGUCCUCAUUUUACAAGCCCUCAUCCCAGUAUUUGACGCGAUUGACCACAGUUGCUUCCAAAUACCCUCUUCCCUCUGGUCUUAUGUCCCAGGUUUCCUCCCUACCUGAGUUUGCUCUUUAACAACCAGCUCCUCCUUGAUCUACCUCUUACACAUUGGAAUCAUGCUGAGCUGAACCCUGGCCCUCUUACUGAGUCUCCCCAUACACUUUCCUAGGUGGUCUUAUGCUCUCCCAGCAGCAUCAAAUACCCUCUGUCAAAGACUCUUCAAUCCAUAACUCAAGCCUAGAUCUUGCUCUGGAAUCCUACAUUCAUAGUUCCCAGCAUACUGCCUUUGGUACACUUUCAUUUGGAUGACUUAGGGCAUUUCAAACUCAACCCGUAUAUCAUAAUUCCUUCAAAACGCUCCUCCCAUAGUCCCUGGUUCAGUAAAGGGUAUCUUAACAUCUACCCAGUUCAUGCCAGAAACCUAGCACACCUCCAACACACAGCAGAAUCACCUACAUCUGUCUGCUCCCUGGAAAAUUGGAUUUGUGACCUCUCUCUGUUCCCAUGACCAUUUUUUCAUUCCCAUUCUAGUCUAAACCACUGUUGCCUCUUGCUUGAAGUCCCACAGUAACCCAUUCAGGUCCUCCAAAACUGCUCUUGCCUCGUUCCAAUACAUUUGCCAUACUGCUGCCAGAGUAAUUUUUUAAAUAUAAAUCUGAUCAUUGACCUGCUUAAAUUCCUCCAGUGGUCUCCCUUUGCUUACCACACAUUGUCUAAGCUCCAUUAUCUGUACUUGUCUUUCUCUCCAGCCUCUCCAUCUGUCCCCCUAGCUGCCUGCACUCCUGCCAUAGUAUUUUAAUUUUUUCCAGGCUCUCCUCUUUUUAUUCCCUACUGUAGGCUCUCACUUCAGGGCAUUUACACAUGCCCUUCCCUUCCCCUGGAAUUUUUUUCUGUCACCCAUUCCUCCUACUUAACUGUAACUUAUCACUUUCUUUUCCAAUUCCUACUUCUCAUUAUUUGUUUAGUGUCCAUGUAAUUGUGCAGGUAAGGACCACGUCUGUCUUGUUCACUACCAGCUUUUCCUCUCCCUAGCAACAGCACAAUGUCUAGAAUAUAGUGGUACUUGUUAGGUAUUUAUCGAAUAAAUAGUGAAUUUCUGAGUGGUCCCGGGCAAAGUUUUCUCAACAUUUGAAUUCAAAUCCUGGCUCUCAGUGAGUUCAGGUUGCCGUAGUAAAGUACCAUAUAGACUGGUGGCUUAUAAACAACAGAAAUGUAUUUCUCAUAGCUCUGGAGGCUGGAUAUCUGAAAUCAGGCUGCCAACAUGGUCAGGUUCUGGUGAAGGCCCUCUUCAGGGUUGUAGAUGGCUGUUUUUUCCCUUUACCUCACAAUGCAGAAAGAGAGCAAGAGCUCUCGGGUUGCUUUUAUAAGGCACUAAUCCCAUUCACAAGGGGUUUACCUCCCAAAGGCCUCAUCUCCUAAUACCAUCACAUUGAGGGUGAAGAUUUCAAAAAUACGAAUUUGCAGGAGACAGGGGUGGGGGUGAAUUCAUUGCACUGGCUCAGCCACUUAUUAGCUAAUGACUUUGGGCAAAUUGUUCACUCUUGUGCCUCAGUUUUCCCAUCUGUAAAAUAAAGAUGAUAAUAGCACCUCAUAGUGUUAUUGUAAUGAUUACGUGACAUAAUACAUGUGAAGUAUACUUGGAACAAUGUUAGGAAAAAUGUUGCCUAUUACUAGCUUUUACUUGGAUAGCUUAUCCUCGUGUCAAAUACGUUUUCAAAAUUGAGUUCAUCUUCCUGCUCUUCUUACCGUGGCUCUAUACAUGAUAUCAAAAAACUUUGGAAUUAUUUACUCAUAACCUAUAAUUAUCACCCACCAAAUAUGGUGAGUUUUUAUUUAAAAAUGUCCUCAUAUUCAUUCUUCCUUUUUAUAUACACUAACCUUCAUUUAGACUCUAUUAUCAUUGAUUAUUUUGCUAACUUCCUAGGUGUCUUCUAACUGGAGGCUAGCUUUCCCUAUUCAUUUGGGCCCUUACUGUCAGACCAGUGGGCCUCAAACAAUUAUUAAAACAUAUAUUCUUCUUGACUUCUGCUCAAAUGACCUCCGUUCCCACCUAACUUUGUUCAUUCAUUUAUUCAAUCAUCCAUUCAUUCCAAUGCAAGUUAUUUUACUACUAACAUUUUGGGUAUACUCUAGAUUUUCAGCCUCUCUACUUUGACAUUUCUCUCUUGGAUAUUCUCUCUUCGGAUAUACUCUAGCAUUUUCAAUCUCACUAUCUGACAUUUCUCCUUUCAGCAUCCAAGUUUUGUCUCUGGGAUUUGGAAGCCACCUGCAUUUUAAAAGAAAUUUUUUCCAGGAUCAGUCUCUCGCUGUGUUGCUCAGGCUGAAGUGCAGUGGCUGUACACAGGAGCGGUCAUCGCAUGUGACAGCCCCACACCCCUGGGCUCAAGUGACUCUCUUGCCCUCAGCCUCCUGAGUAGCUGGGACUACAGGUUUAUGGGAUGCAGGAUAAUGGAGCAUGCUCUAUCUGGGACAUUGCUAGUCUUAUGACAGAGGGAGAAGACAGCGAUGAGUUUUCGAAGAACUCCAGGAAGUGGCUGCAGAGCAAAGUAGGAUCCUGAUACUGAGCUCAAGUGAUUCAGAAUGAAAAGACCUUGGCACAGACCUGUUAAGGAAGCUCCAUAUAAGGUGAAGAAAACAACAUGCUCAGCCAUGUCCUUGCCUUCUGCACACGGUAGUGCAUUCACUGCCUGAGAAUUCAAGGCUAAAACAAAAAGAGGAGCUUUUGUUCCAACAGAUAAGUACUUACCUUUUUCAAAAAAUGCAUAAGCUGUCCUGGGUGUUUAGCAGUUAUUCGCACAGCUUUCCAAAGACUCACAGCAUUUAAAAGCUAACUCUACAGAGAUUCAACAGCUUCUUCCAGAUCCCACCACAGUGGAAAAGAACUCCGGUGUCCUGGCUCCCUGUCCAGCUCUUCUCUCUCCCCUUCCAGCUGCCAGUUCAGCUUUAAGAAGUUCAUUCUCCACAUUCAGAUGCAGGCAAAUGCGUUUGACUUGAGCAUAUUGAUUUCAGGCAGGUGAGAGUGGAUGUAGCGAUUCAGCUUGACAAAUAUUUAGAUCAGUUAAGUGUCCUUUAUAAAGAAGCACUUGAACUCAGUGUUUCCUUUACCCGACCAUUUCACUCCACAAGCUACCUCCCCAGCAUAAAAUAUUCAAAUUAUUUCUAAAUUUCAUCUACUGAAAAAAUACUUCUAGGCCCUAUAGCUACAUGAUAUCUCCACUGGGAGCCCUGUCCUUUCCAUGCCCUGGGAAAACCCGAUCUAAAGCAGAUUUAAAUGACUCAGCAGUAGGACUCAGGUCUCUGUCUCUGCCUGCUUACUUGGGGAGUGCUCCAGCCUUAGGGGCUCUCUUGCACUCCAACAUAGGAAAGAAAUUAUCGAUGGCUCCAUUCCCCAGCAUUUGAGACUUUUCUUCCCACAGACACAUUCCUGAGGACACCAGUCAUGGGUAAAGAACUCCACUGGGGUCAGCGUUGGAUCCCACUAGGCAGUUUAGGACUUGUAAGUAGAGUAGUGUGGACUUGGUGUUCCCAGAGCCUCUCACUCAUGAUUCAUGGCUCUCCACCCCAAGCAUCGGAACUUGCCCAACUUCACCACAGAAGGAAACAGACUGUAAGCUUGGAGGGCCAGGGAGGAAACCGGAGGCAUGUGUGGGAGGAUUAGAAACAUGAAAAGAUAUUUACAGUAAGGUUCGCUUGUCAUCCUCUUGAACUGGGGGUGCAUAGAGUACAAUAAGACCCCAUGUGAGUAUGUUAGAUGAUAAGGCUCAGGUUGGAUGGGUGUGUAGAGUAAAGGCUUUGCAUCACCUUUGCCAGGGUGAGGGAAGGCUAUGGAUAGCACAGGGGACCUUGAUGAUCGGGUGAGGGAGCCCAUGUGGACAUAGUGGUCACCAGCUACUUCCUAGUUCUCUACAUGGGAGAAAGAGCCCUUCUCUGUAAUCAUGGAAGCUCAAGUUCUUGGUGGUUCAGAGGUUAGAGACCUCUGAUUACUAGGACAGAGCAGAAUAGCAGGGCUGGUCCUGGUAGAUCAGACAUCUCAUGACAUCCUUUAAAAGGGACUAGAAUAUUCAGAACUCCGGUGUAACUAAAUGAUCCUCAAGCUUUACCAGCAGGUGAGCAAGGUCCCAUUGUAUUUGGUACUCACAUCCCCACCAAUUCUGUAAAAGUUUGCCAACUUUCCCCUCCAUCCCCUGCACCCUUUCACCAAAAGAUAUGCCUAAGAGUUCCCAAGAGACGUCUAACAUAGGCCUGCAUGUCAGCCCAGUCUUCUGGGCUGAGCUGCUGCACUGUUGCUGGCCUUGAUGGCUGAACCUGAUCUCUGUUGUGGCACCCACCACUCUUUCUCAAGCCUUGACACCUUGGCAGGCUUUGGCAAAAAGAGGAGAGCUGUUCUUCCUCGGCAUUAUGUUCACUUAGCAGGGUCCCACAGCAGGAUUGCUUGGACCCCAGAGUAUUGUAGGGCUUAAUAAGACCAGCCCUUUCAUCUCACACGCUCUAUCCUUUCUCUCACUGGUGCACCCACGUCAGGUGUCUUGAGUGGGGAGUGCUCGAAUAUCUGCCACCAGCUUGAGUCAGAACCUCGACUUCCCUCAGCUUUUCAGGGUCUGUUACUGAGUCUGGUCCACACUCCAGGGUCUUUUCCUCACGGUCUGGGUCUGGUCUUUUUCAGGUGCCUACCUUUCCUCCCUGCAAACUGCCUUGAGUUGCCUCCCCUUCUCCCUUCCUUCCUGGUCUGUCAGAGACAUCUUGUCUGGGUGCAUAUUUGAACCCCAUCAGUAGACAGAAAACAUGUAUUUCCUUGAAGGCCCCUCAGACCCCAGGUACAAACAUUGAAGUAAAUAACAGCAGGGAUGGGGGUUCUGCCUCGCUUCACCUGCCAGCCACGUGCAGACCUUGUUUCAGUCCAACUGAGACUUUAGCAAGUGCUUCAUUCUGGUUUGUGAAUGGCUUCCCAGUGUCUGUCACUGUGUUCACAGGGCCACCGGGGUUGGCUGAGUCAGAAUACCAGCCAUGUGGCAUGUCGCAUGGGGCAAGAGCUGUGCUGCCCAUGGGAGUCCAGAGAAGGAGCACACUAAGGACCAACACCAGGUAGGCCUUGCCCAAACAGGACUCUAAAGAAGUUGGCCAAAAGAGGGUUGCAGAUCUAGUAGUUUAGAAGUGGUGCCAAGAUAAGGUCAGAUUCCUUAUCUUGAGCCACCUUGAGGGUGGCUGUCCUGACCACCUGCAAUUGUUCACUACUCACCUGUAUAGGCCAGAUUGUGUCUGCCAGGCGGAUGGACCAGGCUGGUUUGAAGGACCAGGGCAGAUUACAUGCCCCAGACAGGUGUUAUACAGUGGUUAAAGCUCCUCCUUGUGUUUAAAGGAUUAUUUACAAAAUGUAAAAAGACCCAAAGACUUUCAUUCCUUUGUAAUGUUGGGAUUAAAAUCUCAACUAACAGUAGUCUAACUGGAUUGGAAAUGGGGGAUUUCCUAUGGAAAUUUCAUUCUUUUGAAUUCCAGCUGCAUACACAGUAGAUUUUUUCCCCCUAUAAAUGAAAGUGUAUGGCAAUCUGGGUAUUCUCUUAUUCAAGUAAAGAUAGUAGUAAACUAAAUAUUUUUUAGUGAGAGGAUUGCUUUAUAUUCUGCUUUUUCUGCUGUUGUUCACUAGGGCUUCUAAUACAAAUGUAGUAUCACCCUCAAUCAGCUCUUCUUAUAAUACCUGUUGUGUAUGAUGAUGUGGAUGCUUAGGGGAACAGGAUAGGGGAUCUCUUGUAUUUCAGGGGAUGCAGGCAUGAGUGGAUGGCCCAAGGUCAAAUAAUGAACUGAAGUUCAUUAUCUCUGUUUCCAGCUCUGCAGAUGAGCAAUAUCAUCACAACUAACCAAUUGAUCAAUUAUUCAUUCAGUCAUUUAAUGAGAAGCUACUGUGUACCCAUCCUUUCCUUGGCCUUCUGGACAGUUAGACAUGGUGCCUGUCUUCAGAUUGCUCACACACCAGUUGGAGACACAAAAGUUACAUGCAGUAAGCAACAAUCCCUAAAUGCUCAACAGCUCACCAAGCCUGAAUAGAGAGGAAGAGACCUUGGUGUGGCCUGGAAGGAAAGAGCAGCUUUGGGAAGGAGUGGCAUAAAAGAGAGAACUUAAUUCAGCAGUUUUUCUUCCUCUAUGCCCAGAUGGUAUUACAUGUGUUACUGGCCAGUGUUGGGUAACAGUGGCACUGAUGUGGUCACUAAGGGGCCCUUGGUACCAGGGCUGGGACAAGGGUGGGGAAAGCAAGACAUCUAGGCCCUUCAAGAAUGAGCACCUCCCUAAAUGAUGUGCGUAGGUUGUCCCUCCCUGGCCUCUACCUAGUCCCAGUAUGCUUUCUCUGCCUCUCUCUAUUUCAUUCUCUAGCUCCACCUUCUUUUUAUUAGUGUUAUUUUUUCUCCCUCCUGGUUGUUUUUCUCCAUUCUUUCUCUUCUUUUUUUUUUUUCUUUUCCUUUUUACUAGUCUACUUCUAAUACUCUUCCAGUGCCCCUCCGUAAUCCAUUCCAGAAGUUGCUGUAUUCUUAUGUAGACUGGUGCUAGAGGUCAUGGGGUGGAUGUAAACAAUGUCUGCAACCUGCCUUAGCAUUGUUAUUUUUAAUCCUGUGAUAACAAUAGUACUGACACAUAUUACAAGUCAUGUCUUUGGAUCUAGUUUCUGAGAAAGCCCAAGUUCUUUUUAUGAAAGAACACCCAUGUAAAGGAAUGAGAUGAUCUAAGUUACAUGAAGAAAUUAACUGCAACAAAAUGAUAUUAAUACAUUUGAUAUUCUUGGUCAACUAAUGCUUCUAAACAUCUUCCCUUCAGAGCAUAAGCUCCUUUCUCAUCUUAUUCUCCACAGACUCCUCUCCAUUGGAUCUCUAGCACCUAGAAUAGAGCUGGGUACACAUGAUGAGGUGCUUAAUACGUAUUUGUCAAAUUGAAUGUCAAGUUUUAGGAGUUUAAAGAGUGUUUUCAAAUGGGGAGAAGCCGAGACACAAAUAGUCUCAGGAAUGAGAUGAAAUUAUUUAACCAAUUGGAGAUGAAAUUCGAAAUGGAAACUAUGACAUGACUCAACAUCCUCAAGCCCUGAAGUAAUAAUUAGCACAUAAAGUUGGUCUGUUAUGGACUUUGUGUUGUGCUCCCUGCAAAAUUGGUAUGUUGAAAUCCUAACCCCCAAUGUGAUGGCAUUGGGAGGUGGAGCCUUUGGGAGGUCAUUAGGUCGCAAGGUUGGGGACUCAUGAAUGGGAUUAGUGCCCUCAUAUGAAGGAUCAGGAGAGAGCUUGCUUUUUCCUUUUUCUGUUCUCUACUUUGUGAGGAUACAGAGAGAAGACAGCUGUCUGCAAACCAGAAAGAGAGUCCUCACUGCACUUCAUAUCUGCCAAUGGAUCCUUGCUCUUGAACCUCCCAACCUGCAGAAUCAUGAGAAACAAACAUUGUGUAAGCCACCCACUCUACAGUAAUUUGUUCUAGCAGACCGAGCUGACUGAGGUAUGGUCUCAUCACGUAACCACUUUUAACCUUAGUCUUUCUAUCUGUAAAGUAAGUGGGUUAGAGAAAUCAUUCUAGAAGAUGUUUCUGCUUUAAAACAAAUUCUUCUAUUUCCUUUCCAAUGUGAAGUUUGGGUGGUCCCAUUGUAAAUGACUCCAUUUGAUUUUGGUUUUGAAUUUAUUGUCUUUCUUCCCACUUUCAUCUCAGGUACUUAGUGCCGGUAUGUGCUUUUGAUCACAGCCUCAGAAAAUAGAACAGUGUGUGGCAUUGGGAGGUGGGGCCUUUGCUUAGGAGCUUUGAAAACAGAAGUAAUUUUCUUGUCUGCAUGUUCACAGUUUAAGCCUAAGUUCUUUAAGUUUUAGUCUGUAUUAGUAUUGGUUUCAAACAUUUAAUGUAUGGAUUAUUCCUUUGGUUCCUGUAUUCCUGCUUUCAUAGGCAUAUUGACUUGUUAAAUAAGGAAAAUUAACUGAACUGUAGCCUAAGAAUCAGAAUCUUCAGGGCUAAAAGGAAAAAUGUAGAGUUUGGUCACAUCUCCACCCUGCUUUCUUCUGGGACCCUCGGGGUAAGGUAGCUGGUAUUUGGUUGACAUGGUCCAGGUAUUGAAUAGAUGUCCAUGCUUUCCUUUUCUUCAAGAAUGAGGAAGUUGUCUUCAGAUGCUGAAGUCGGAGUCUACAUAAAUAGCUGGGAUAUUAUAUCUGAGCAACC